AAUAACCGACAUGACAGCAGGUGAUGCCUUCGGCUACAUCGAUCCACCAAUAUCAAUAACGGACAUGACAGCAGGUGAUGCCUUCGGCUGCAUCGAUCCACCAAUAUCACACGAGGGCCCGUGCCAUUUUUUUAUUUAAUCAACAGCUAUGCUAAUAUUUUCUUUUGUUUUCUGUAUUUCAGAUAUUAGACCAUAUGAUCCCACAGUACCACCCCCGAGACAUUUCAUUAGAAGUGUCUCUGGGGAUGGUACUAUUAUUAACUGUUAUGCUUGGAAAUAAAAAAUUAAAUUUAUAAUUAGUUUUAAUUUAUAAAAAAGUGUAAAGUGGUUUUAUAAUAAUUCUGUGUAGGUAUGUGGAAA